rnacentral:rRNA from 1 species
GACGAACGCUGGCGGCGUGCUUAACACAUGCAAGUCGAGCGGUAAGGCCCUUUCGGGGGUACACGAGCGGCGAACGGGUGAGUAACACGUGGGUGACCUGCCCUCAGCUCUGGGAUAAGCCUGGGGAAACCGGGUCUAAUACCGGAUAUGACUCCAUGACGCAUGUUGUGGGGUGGAAAGCCUUGUGCGGCUGAGGAUGGGCCCGCGGCCUAUCAGCUUGUUGGUGGGGGGA